rfam:Myotis brandtii contig215022, whole genome shotgun sequence.
GCUGGUGUGGCUCAGUGGAUAGAGCAUCUGCCUGCAGACUGAAGGGUCCCAGGUUUGAUUCCUGCACAUGCC